rnacentral:rRNA from 1 species
AUUGAACGCUGGCGGCAUGCUUUACACAUGCAAGUCGAACGGUAACAGGCCUUCGGGUGCUGACGAGUGGCGCACGGGUGAGUAAUGCAUCGGAACGUACCCAGAGGUGGGGGAUAACGCAGCGAAAGCUGUGCUAAUACCGCAUGUGAUCUGAGGAUGAAAGCGGGGGACCGAGCAGCAAUGUUUGGCCUCGCGCCUUUGGAGCGGCCGAUGUCGGAUUAGCUAGUUGGUGGGGUAAAGGCCUACCAAGGCGACGAUCCGUAGCUGGUCUGAGAGGACGACCAGCCACACUGGGACUGAGACACGGCCCAGACUCCUACGGGAGGCAGCAGUGGGGAAUUUUGGACAAUGGGCGCAAGCCUGAUCCAGCAAUGCCGCGUGCGGGAAGAAGGCCUUCGGGUUGUAAAUCGCUUUUGGCAGGAACGAAACGGUGUCCGCUAAUACCGGGCGCUAAUGACGGUACCUGCAGAAUAAGCACCGGCUAACUACGUG